AUUGAACGCUGGCGGCAUGCCUUACACAUGCAAGUCGAACGGUAACAGGUCUUCGGAUGCUGACGAGUGGCGAACGGGUGAGUAAUACAUCGGAACGUGCCCGAUCGUGGGGGAUAACGAAGCGAAAGCUUUGCUAAUACCGCAUAAGAUCUACGGAUGAAAGCAGGGGGCCGCAAGGCCUUGCGCGAACGGAGCGGCCGAUGGCAGAUUAGGUAGUUGGUGGGAUAAAAGCUUACCAAGCCGACGAUCUGUAGCUGGUCUGAGAGGACGACCAGCCACACUGGGACUGAGCCACGGCCCAGACUCCUACGGGAGGCAGCAGUGGGGAAUUUUGGACAAUGGGCGAAAGCCUGAUCCAGCCAUGCCGCGUGCAGGAUGAAGGCCUUCGGGUUGUAGACUGCUUUUGUACGGAACGAAAAGACUCUUUCUAAUAAAGAGGGUCCAUGACGGUACCGUAAGAAUAAGCACCGGCUAACUACGUGCCAGCCGCCGCAGUAAGAC
rnacentral:rRNA from 1 species